AUGGGGACUGUUCCUGUCAAUGGCUUUCUAAGUCUGUUCAAGAAAAAUUUCCAUGAUAUAGAUGUCCUUAUCCUACUGUACCCAGAGGUGCUUGAGCAUGCCAGAGCUGUAGGUAAAAGUUUAAACUCUGGUAUAAGGUUUUUACAGAAGGCAGCCUUAUCCCAUAAUUACAAAGUAAGACUGCCACGAAACAAGCAAGUGGCUCGAGUAGCAGACCCUCGUUCACCUAGUGCUGGCAUCCAGUGCACUCCUAUUCAUGUGGAGAGCUCUCCACAGCCAAGCCUACCAGCAGAACAGCUGAACAGUCUCAAACAGGCACAAGACCCAGAUCCCCGCUCUCCUACUCUUGGCAUUGCACGGACACCCAUGAAGAUCAGUGGUCCAGACCCUCAGUUCUCACUGGUGAAAUAGCUGAACGAAGUUUUUGAGACGGAAGCAUCGGAAUCAAUUUCCUCCCCAAAGCUUGCUCUGCCCCGGGAAACGCCUUUAUCUUCUGACCUGGAACUGUCUUCAGAUCCCCAGUUAUCCCCUGAGGACCAGUUACUGCCUUUGAGCCAGGCUGAACUCGAUCCCAAACAGGUGUUUACCAAGGAGGAAGCAAAACAAUCCGCAGAAACUAUAGCUGCCAGCCAGAACUCAGAAAAGCCCUCCAGAGACCCAGAGACUCCCCAGUUCUCAGGUUCUAAGCGCAGCAGACAAAAAGCAAACAGCAAGGUUCUAGGGAGGUCCCCUCUCAUCAUCCUGCAGGAUGACAACUCCCCUGGGACCUUGACACUACGACAGGGUAAGCGGCCUUCUGCCCUCAGUGAGAACGUUAAGGACCUAAAGGAAGGAGUCAUUCUUGGAACUGGAAGAUUUCUCAAAGCUAGAGGAGGAGCACGGGAACCAAACCAGGACCACGACAAGGAAAAUCAGCAUUUUGCCUUGUUGGAGAGCUAGGUCUGUGCUGGAGUCAUCCCCAAGGGCACCAAAGAAAGCACUGUUCUCGGAUUCCUCUCAGACUACCAACUCUGGUACUUGGACAUCAUUCUUUUAAAAUGUUUUAUGUGUUUCCUGUAUAUUAAAGUAGAUGAUUUUAAAUGAUGCUUUAAG